GAGUUUGAUCCUGGCUCAGAUUGAACGCUGGCGGCAUGCCUUACACAUGCAAGUCGAACGGCAGCACGGGAGUAAUCCUGGUGGCGAGUGGCGAACGGGUGAGUAAUAUAUCGGAACGUGCCCAGUCGUGGGGGAUAACGCAGCGAAAGCUGUGCUAAUACCGCAUGCGAUCUCUGGAUGAAAGCGGGGGACUCGCAAGAGCCUCGCGCGAUUGGAGCGGCCGAUAUCAGAUUAGCUAGUUGGCGGGGUAAAAGCCCACCAAGGCGACGAUCUGUAGCUGGUCUGAGAGGACGACCAGCCACACUGGAACUGAGACACGGUCCAGACUCCUACGGGAGGCAGCAGUGGGGAAUUUUGGACAAUGGGCGAAAGCCUGAUCCAGCAAUGCCGCGUGCAGGAUGAAGGCCUUCGGGUUGUAAACUGCUUUUGUACGGAACGAAACGGUCUGCCCUAAUACGGUGGGCUAAUGACGGUACCGUAAGAAUAAGCACCGGCUAACUACGUGCCAGCAGCCGCGGUAAUACGUAGGGUGCGAGCGUUAAUCGGAAUUACUGGGCGUAAAGCGUGCGCAGGCGGUUAUAUAAGACAGAUGUGAAAUCCCCGGGCUCAACCUGGGACCUGCAUUUGUGACUGUAUAGCUAGAGUACGGUAGAGGGGGAUGGAAUUCCGCGUGUAGCAGUGAAAUGCGUAGAUAUGCGGAGGAACACCGAUGGCGAAGGCAAUCCCCUGUACCUGUACUGACGCUCAUGCACGAAAGCGUGGGGAGCAAACAGGAUUUAGAUACCCUGGUAGUCCACGCCCUAACGAUGUCAACUGGUUGUUGG
rnacentral:rRNA from 1 species